rnacentral:rRNA from 1 species
UGGGGAAUAUUGCACAAUGGGCGCAAGCCUGAUGCAGCCAUGCCGCGUGUAUGAAGAAGGCCUUCGGGUUGUAAAGUACUUUCAGCGGGGAGGAAGGGAGUAAAGUUAAUACCUUUGCUCAUUGACGUUACCCGCAGAAGAAGCACCGGCUAACUCCGUGCCAGCAGCCGCGGUAAUACGGAGGGUGCAAGCGUUAAUCGGAAUUACUGGGCGUAAAGCGCACGCAGGCGGUUUGUUAAGUCAGAUGUGAAAUCCCCGGGCUCAACCUGGGAACUGCAUCUGAGACUGGCAAGCUUGAGUCUCGUAGAGGGGGGUAGAAUUCCAGGUGUAGCGGUGAAAUGCGUAGAGAUCUGGAGGAAUACCGGUGGCGAAGGCGGCCCCCUGGACGAAGACUGACGCUCAGGUGCGAAAGCGUGGGGAGCAAACA